rnacentral:tRNA from 1 species
GGCUCGGUAGCUUAGUUGGUAAAGCAUUGUCUAGCGAAUAAGGGUCGUGAGUUCAAAUCUCACCUGAGAUG